rnacentral:lncRNA from 1 species
GGCAAAUCAAAGCGGAAUAUUGACAUAUGAGAUCACCCUCCCGAUUAGUCAUGUCCUCUAACAGAAGAAAAUUCGGUAUCCGCACAACGGAUGGAAAUAUACGGACCUUUGCUAUAAAAAGAUUGGAAAAAGAGUCUGAAAAGAGAGAAAUCAAAAAAUUUACUCUCAAUGAUUAAGAAGAUCCUCAUACUCAAAAGUGAAGUCAACUAGAGUCUCGUCCCAGAAGAAAUUGACAAAAUCUUCAUCCAAAUAGAAAGGUCCCCCGUCACAGAGAGGGAACAAAGCCGCGAUCUCUAGUACUACUGAUAACUCUGUGUUUAUACAUCUCUCAUUUCCUUCUGACUAAAGACUCAAAUUGAAAGAAUUAGUGAAUUAUAUUUUGUCAAACAAGUUGUAAUAUCCUGUCAAGAAUUACGAACAGGUAUUUGUCCUCCUGUAGCAAUGCUAUUAAGCCUAACAUCGCAAGAUUAAAGAUUGUAAAGAGUCUCUCUCUCUUAAUAAAAAGGAGUCUGGUCAUCAUACUGUCUAUUCUGGGUCAUAAGUGUUAUACAGAGUUCAUUCUCCCAUCUUACUCAUAAACCAUACACUGCUCAUUAGGCCCACGCCUGUUUGUUUAGUAUUGCAUGCCAACAUUGGACUGGUGUCAGAAAUCCUGAUAAUACACCGCAAGGAUCCGGAAUUUCCACUGUGAUGUCAGAAGUGGGAUUCUGGGAUUGAUAAAAUCUUAUUGAGGUAAAGAGGAACCAGAAAGGAACGAAAAAGUUAGUGGUAACCUCAAAGAUGGCCAAUGAAACUCUGCCUGACACUUCAAAUUGACCAGAGACGACAACUAUGGGAUCGUUCGCUUUCUCGAGUAUGAUUCUGAGCUUCGGGGGAAGCGACCCAAUGCGUAAUGGACUAUUUUGAUAUCAUUGACCAGAUAGGUACGUUAGCCAAUUGGAAUGAAUGUCAACUUUUGGGUAUCUCUAAAUGCAAACUCACAGGGAUAGCAUGAGAUUAUGCGUGGCGUGACUUUAAGGCCAAAGACAUCACUGAUUAUAAAGCAUUUAAAGCUCAGAUGAUAAAAAGGUUUGCCAAGGUACCAUAUACCAUUAGACUACAAAAAUUCUAUUCAUGUAUAUAACAAUGCAAGGAAGAUGUACAAACUUAUGCUGUUAGGUUACAAUCACUUGAAGCAGAAACUACAAUUGCUAUAGAAAGCAAUAUAGAGCAGGAGAAAAUAGUAGUCAAACAUUGUCAAAAGGAAGAGUUGGAUGAACGCAUGUGUAUACAGUUUCUAAACAAGAUUAAUGAUAGAAUUAAACACAGCAUCAUAUGGCAAGAUUCAAAAACAGAUUAUUAGCAGUCAUGCGCUAGGAGACAAUAGAAAAAGCAGUUGGAAGACCGCGACCUUAUGUAGGUAGGAUUGAGGAGCUCCACGAAAUCAAUACAGAAAUAAAGGAGACAGACAUAACAGGCCCAAAUAAAAAUAAUACCAACGAAUUACAGACAGCAAUCAAACAAAUCAGUGAUAAACUAGGUAAAUUAGGACCCAAGCUGGAAAAAGCAGUAAACUCUCAAUCACUGCUGACCUUAUGAUUUCUUGACCCAUCCCAAACACAAGCAAUACUACGUCAUGAACCAUGUCUGUCAAAACAAAAUUAUGAGAAGGGUUGGUUUCGGCCACAGUGCAAUUAUAAACCAAUGCCGGUUCAAUAUCCAGUUAAUUGGUAUUCACAACUAUGUGUGCGGACCAUACAGAAUUUUGAACAGGGAUCUGCCACAAAAUUCUCCCCUUUCAUUCUUGGUAAAGUGCCACAAGCAGGUAAUAGAAGUAGAAAACCUUCCUAUUGGACUCAUCAUCCGCUGGAAGGGCAACAUUGUACUGUCCCGCAAGCAAGCUCUCUAAAUAAUACACAAGGUAGUACUACUCACAAUCGUUCUCAGGGUAACCAGAACUCUUGACUAACAUGGAUUAGAUUGACAAUUAGACAACAUACACCAUUCCACACACUUAUAUCGAUAAAAGGACGAAAUAGAAAGCGACAACCGUGUAGGAAAAAGGGCAAAGUCCAAUUUGAAGGAAUGUUUAAAACGGAAUCAGCGCAGGAAAUUGAGCCAUAUUUGAAAUGUAGAAUUAAUGAUCGGCUAGUUUAUCUAACAUUUGACACUGGGGCUAAGGUCACACUGUUGUCACAAACAUUUGCAAGUAAGUUGGGACGACUUUUUCUGUCUCGUGGUCCACGUAUGAAGUUAGAGCAUAAUGGGACAUGUAAUUAAAACUUAUGGGAAGUAUGAGUUCUCCUUUCAGAUUGGUCCAUUACUGUUUAAACACACCUGUUAUAUUGUUGAUCCAUACAUAAAUCAAAAGGUACAGUUCUCAUUAGAAUCAUAAAUAUUACGACUAAUUCAGUAAAAUUAAAUAAAUGAGAAUUGGUAGGAAAGUUCGUACAGGCAGUGGAAGAGUCAAAGGAAAAAACCGAGAGUGACAAGCCAAUAAGGACUGACGCCGCAAUGAAUAUGUCACUAAAAGAGUUUGGAAAUCUUUUUGACUGGACCAAAAUGGGGAAAGACAAAAAGAAACCAUUGCUAAUGCUACUAUAUAAAUACC